UGGGGAAUAUUGCACAAUGGGCGCAAGCCUGAUGCAGCAACGCCGCGUGAAUGAUGAAGGCCUUCGGGUCGUAAAGUUCUGUCCAAAGGGAAGAAUACAGUGACGGUACCUUUGGAGGAAGCCCCGGCUAACUACGUGCCAGCAGCCGCGGUAAUACGUAGGGGGCAAGCGUUAUCCGGAAUCACUGGGCGUAAAGGGAGCGUAGGCGAUUUGACAAGCCAGGGGUGAAAGGCAAUAGCUUAACUAUUGUAAGCCUUUGGAACUGUCGAACUUGAGUGCAGGAGAGGAAAGUGGAAUUCCUAGUGUAGCGGUGAAAUGCGUAGAUAUUAGGAGGAACACCAGUGGCGAAGGCGACUUUCUGGACUGUAACUGACGCUGAGGCUCGAAAGCGUGGGGAGCGAACA
rnacentral:rRNA from 1 species